CCCUUAGACGUUCUGGGCCGCACGCGCGCUACACUGACGGAGCCAGCGAGCUUUUCCUUAACCGAGAGGUUUGGGUAAUCUUGUGAAACUCCGUCGUGCUGGGGAUAGAGCAUUGUAAUUAUUGCUCUUCAACGAGGAAUUCCUAGUAAGCGCAAGUCAUCAGCUUGCGUUGAUUACGUCCCUGCCCUUUGUACACACCGCCCGUCGCUAGUACCGAUUGAAUGGCUUAGUGAGGCUUCAGGAUUUGCUUAGAUCGAGGGGCAACUCUCUUUCAGAGCGGAGAAUCUAGUCAAACUUGGUCAUUUAGAGGAACCAAAAGUCGUAACA
rnacentral:rRNA from 1 species